GUUACAAUAAGAUAUUACAGUUUUUAAUGUGCCGUUGGGUAGGAUAGUCUUAAAUCGUUGAUCGUCCAGUUUGUUUUCCAAUGAUUGAACGUUGGCCAAUAAUACAGAGGGUAGUGGUGGUUUACCUACUUCUCUGCAAAUUCUUACAAGGAACCCUAUUCUUCUCUCCCCAUCUUUUCUUCAUGCGGUGAUGGGGAUUUGGGACUUGUCUCGACAAAGCAGUAUAUCCUUCACGUCAGACUCGUUAAAGAACAAAUAUUUGUCCAGUUCGAGGUUGCUGGUUCAAGUCAAGGACGAGGCUUCUGAUGUAGAAAGAAGAAAAGAUCCCUCUUAUCAAUGAAGUUCCUGAGGUUCAAGGAUGAGGUAGC
rnacentral:lncRNA from 1 species